rnacentral:tRNA from 1 species
GCGGGUAUGGUGAAAUUGGUAGACACAAGAGACUUAAAAUCUUUUGGCCUCACGGCCGUGCCGGUUCGAGUCCGGCUACCCGCACCA